GCCAGUUGGGUCAAGCUGUCAAGCUUUUCAGAUCUUCUGGCUAUGUCCUCAGCCACCUGAGUGGUGGUCGUGUAAGCAUGGAUCCUCAUGCUUGGCUGUUUGUCCGUUUACAGUGCUUGGAAUACAAUCCAGGAUCUUGAAUGUGCUAGGCCAGUGCCUCAUCCUGGGCUUCACCCUCAGCUUCAGUGUCACUUCUUACGAGGACACUAAAUACAUGGCUUGGAACUCAGCCUUAAGAUCUCCUUUCAUGCUACAACCCACAAGAUGAUAAAGACAACUGGGAUACACUUGUAGAAAAUGCUGAAGUUUAUUAAAGAAAUAAAUUAUGAAUCCAGCCAAUGUGAAAUAGUGUCUGCCACAGGUAUGAAAGCCUGACUAAAAUACCUUCUGUCUCCUCAGUCAUCUCAGCUGACUCCUCUGACUUUGGUAUUUGCAAAUCCACCUAGCAUUGCCUACUUAAAAUGUGCUUAGGAAGUUAGCAUUGAAGUCUUCCAGCCACAGAAUGCUAACUGACUCAGUCUAGAUCGCCUAGACUUCACAGACAGAGCUGGGAAACAGAUCAAGAGAAGAAAUCACAAGUGAAGAAACGGAACCAGAAAUUAACACCCAAUGGUGGACAAGACUCUUCGUCUUCGUACAAAUCUAACAGGGCUGGUGUGAGUUCACUUCAUUUUCUGAUGCCAUUCAGAUCUGGAUGCUCCAUCAAAGAAGCAAAAGUCCUCGAAAUGUGGAGCCUCUGAGAUGAUGCCAGAGCAGUUUUCAGUCAACAGAGACUGCCAUUUCCAAGGAAGGCUGACACCACUGAGAGCAUUUCUUUUCCAACUGUUUUCUGGACUGAGAUUCACCUCUGCUCAUAAGUCUUGAUCAUGUCAAUAUGAGACCAGUGCUCACACUUUCUGACACCUUCAUCUAAAUCAUUUUUAUUUUUUCUUUCCACUUUGGCAUUAAAAAAAUCUAUCUUUAAAACAGGAGCAAAGUAUAUUUUCCUGGGUCGAAAUAGUGCACGC